GACGAACGCUGGCGGUGUGCUUCACACAUGCAAGUCGAACGGGGUAGCAAUACCCAGUGGCGGACGGGUGAGUAACGCGUAGAAAUCUGCCUUGAGAUGGGGGAUAACAGUCCGAAAGGACUGCUAAUACCGCAUAUGUAUGUAUCUCGACAGAGGUGUAUAUGAAAGGAGUAAUCCGUCUUAAGAUGAGUCUGCGUCCGAUUAGCUAGUUGGUAGGGUAAAGGCCUACCAAGGCGACGAUCGGUAGCUGGUCUGAGAGGAUGAUCAGCCACAAUGGGACUGAGACACGGCCCACACUCCUACGGGAGCAGCAGUGGGGAAUUUUGUGCAAUGGGGGAAACCC
rnacentral:rRNA from 1 species